rnacentral:lncRNA from 1 species
AAACCAUUCUAAGUCUUCCCAACUCAUUUUUAGCCCUUCCAACAUUAUUGGAAUACAAGAGGAACUUGUCCAUCGCUUUCCUUCGACACUUUAACCAAUUUGGUCAAACUUCGAUUAUCGUUUUCGGGUUUCGAUACGUUACAUUCUCCACCCCUUAUAUUUAGUUUCGUCCGCGAAACCAGCUUAAUCUAACUUAAAUUCAUACCUCAAUUCAGCUCAUCGAAGAGAU